rnacentral:tRNA from 1 species
GUGCCUGUAGCUCAAUGGUUAGAGUGCUGGCCCUGUACACCAGGGGGUGGCAGGUUUGAACCCAGCCAGGGUCU